GCAGACACAUUCCAGCCAAUCAGCAGCAGACCCUCCCUCCCAGAUCCUCCCACCUCCUGGACAGCAUCACUAAGAAUGCAGCUUCAAGCUGCAUUCUUAGUGGAUGCUGUCCAGGAGGUGGGAGGGUCUGGGAGGGAGGGUCUGCUGCUGAUUGGCUGGAAUGUGUCUG